rnacentral:rRNA from 1 species
CAGCAGCCACGGUAAUACGAAGGGUGCAAGCGUUAAUCGGAAUUACUGGGCGUAAAGCGUGCGUAGGCGGUUUGUUAAGUCUGUUGUGAAAUCCCCGGGCUCAACCUGGGAAUGGCAAUGGAUACUGGCAAGCUAGAGUGUGUCAGAGGAUGGUGGAAUUCCCGGUGUAGCGGUGAAAUGCGUAGAGAUCGGGAGGAACAUCAGUGGCGAAGGCGGCCAUCUGGGACAACACUGACGCUGAGGCACGAAAGCGUGGGGAGCAAACAGGAUUAGAUACCCGGGUAGUCCCUGUCUCUUAUAC